rnacentral:rRNA from 1 species
UAGCGUUGUUCGGAAUUACUGGGCGUAAAGCGCGCGCAGGCGGUCCUUCAAGUCAGAGGUGAAAGCCCAGAGCUCAACUCUGGAACGGCCUUUGAGACUAGAGGACUAGGGUACGGGAGAGGUGAGUGGAAUUCCGAGUGUAGAGGUGAAAUUCGUAGAUAUUCGGAAGAACACCAGUGGCGAAGGCGGCUCACUGGCCCGUUACCGGCGCUCAGGCGCGACAGCGUGGGGAGCAAACAGG